rnacentral:tRNA from 1 species
GGCUUAAUGGUUUGAACACUGGACUACAACUCCAGAGAGGGUUCAAAUCCCUACUUGGCCA